rnacentral:lncRNA from 1 species
UUGUCUUUUGCAAGAUUCAGUGAUCCAUGUUCUGAUAUUGAUGUUUUUGAGACAGCCAAAUUUCCAAGAACUUUCUUGCCGAUCAAUUAUAGAGAUUGUCCAUUCAACAACGAAAAGGCACCACGUAUUAUAGUGUCUAUGCUUAAGUACUUGAGAGUUUUAAAUUUUAGUAACUUCCAAGGUGAGCUUGUUCUGCCUGAUUCAAUCGGUGAAUUGAUUCAUUUGCGUUA